rnacentral:rRNA from 1 species
AUUGAACGCUGGCGGCAUGCUUUACACAUGCAAGUCGAGCGGCAGCGCGGGGGCAACCCUGGCGGCGAGCGGCGAACGGGUGAGUAAUGCAUCGGAACGUACCCUGGAGUGGGGGAUAACGCCGCGAAAGCGGCGCUAAUACCGCAUAUGCUCUGAGGAGGAAAGUGGGGGACCGCAAGGCCUCACGCUCUGGGAGCGGCCGAUGUCCGAUUAGCUAGUUGGUGGGGUAAAGGCUUACCAAGGCGACGAUCGGUAGCUGGUCUGAGAGGAUGAUCAGCCACACUGGGACUGAGACACGGCCCAGACUCCUACGGGAGGCAGCAGUGGGGAAUUUUGGACAAUGGGGGGCAACCCUGAUCCAGCCAUGCCGCGUGAGUGAAGAAGGCC